rnacentral:rRNA from 1 species
CAGUCGCCGCGGUAAUACGUAGGGUGCAAGCGUUAAUCGGAAUUACUGGGCGUAAAGCGUGCGCAGGCGGUUUGUUAAGACAGAUGUGAAAUCCCCGGGCUCAACCUGGGAAUGGCAAUGGAUACUGGCGAGCUAGAGUGUGUCAGAGGAUGGUAGAAUUCCAGGUGUAGCGGUGAAAUGCGUAGAGAUCUGGAGGAAUACCGGUGGCGAAGGCGGCCCCCUGGACAAAGACUGACGCUCAGGUGCGAAAGCGUGGGGAGCAAACAGGAUUAGAUACCCCGGUAGUCCCUGUCUCUUAUAC